CAGAAGUGGAGACCAUGCUAAUGAAAGAAUGUGAACAAGUGGAGAGAGUAAAGCAGAGAAUUGCUGCUGAAAGGGCUGCUUUUAUCUCAACACAUUUUGGAUCAGGAGGUGGUGUGUCUCGACCUACAAGUCUAUCAGCAAUUAGUCCUGCCAUGAUUCAGAAUAAUGCUGGAAAUACGAGGCAACAAAUCGUCUCAGACGGGCCUUCACAGCCAUAUAUGGGUUAUACCAAUAGUCGACCUGUCCAUCCUCAUGUAUCACCCAUGUCGCAGCAGCAGACAUAUGGACUUGGCCCCAGGAUGCCCCUCUCAGCCAUAAAUCCGUCUUCGGCUUCUCCUAAUAGCACAACUCGCCCAAUGUCAAG
rnacentral:lncRNA from 1 species